UUCUAUGUAUAUCCUUGCUGCCUACUCCAAUUAUGCAUUUUUUUAUUAAUAAUAUGCUGAGUUACUUAUCCAAAAGUGGGGAAAAAAUAAUUUUCUGCAGACUGAACUGAAGCAAUGAGGCUUGGUAUCAAUGGACCUUGGAUCACCAAAUCAUAUCUUGAAAUGAUCCUUGAUAAAAAAAGAAAUGCCAUCCUCGAUGCUGAUUAGUCACUGAUUGAGAAGACUGAAGACUAGAAGAAAUACAUUUGUGCCUGGAAGUCAAGGCACUGCAAUCAUUGCACCAAAACCAAUUCGCGCGACUCCUGACCUUGUUACCGGAUUGGAGGAUUUGUCUCAGCCAUGGACUCGGUCCCUCAACUGAUCAAAUGGCUAUUUGCUCGCAAAACCUCUGUUAAAUUGUCUUGUAAAGUUCUAGUCCAAACACAGUAGGAGGGGAGGGGGGGGAGAGAGGGGAGAGGAGAGUUACCCAGAAGAGCUUGUUUGUAACCUGCAUUCUGUAUUAUACAUUUAUUUUUAUUAUAUAAUAUUUGAUUAAUUUAAUUAAAAA